UCUGGUUGAUCCUGCCAGUAGUCAUAUGCUUGUCUCAAAGAUUAAGCCAUGCAUGUCUAAGUAUAAGCAAUUUAUACAGUGAAACUGCGAAUGGCUCAUUAAAUCAGUUAUCGUUUAUUUGAUAGUUCCUUUACUACAUGGUAUAACUGUGGUAAUUCUAGAGCUAAUACAUGCUUAAAAUCUCGACCCUUUGGAAGAGAUGUAUUUAUUAGAUAAAAAAUCAAUGUCUUCGGACUCUUUGAUGAUUCAUAAUAACUUUUCGAAUCGCAUGGCCUUGUGCUGGCGAUGGUUCAUUCAAAUUUCUGCCCUAUCAACUUUCGAUGGUAGGAUAGUGGCCUACCAUGGUUUCAACGGGUAACGGGGAAUAAGGGUUCGAUUCCGGAGAGGGAGCCUGAGAAACGGCUACCACAUCCAAGGAAGGCAGCAGGCGCGCAAAUUACCCAAUCCUAAUUCAGGGAGGUAGUGACAAUAAAUAACGAUACAGGGCCCAUUCGGGUCUUGUAAUUGGAAUGAGUACAAUGUAAAUACCUUAACGAGGAACAAUUGGAGGGCAAGUCUGGUGCCAGCAGCCGCGGUAAUUCCAGCUCCAAUAGCGUAUAUUAAAGUUGUUGCAGUUAAAAAGCUCGUAGUUGAACUUUGGGCCCGGUUGGCCGGUCCGAUUUUUUCGUGUACUGGAUUUCCAACGGGGCCUUUCCUUCUGGCUAACCUUGAGUCCUUGUGGCUCUUGGCGAACCAGGACUUUUACUUUGAAAAAAUUAGAGUGUUCAAAGCAGGCGUAUUGCUCGAAUAUAUUAGCAUGGAAUAAUAGAAUAGGACGUUUGGUUCUAUUUUGUUGGUUUCUAGGACCAUCGUAAUGAUUAAUAGGGACAGUCGGAGGCAUCAGUAUUCAAUUGUCAGAGGUGAAAUUCUUGGAUUUAUUGAAGACUAACUACUUGUUAUGGGUGGAGGACAAUUCUUAUUCUCCACAUCACAAUGCACUAUUGCUUUUGCUUUUUCACCUGUCAUAUCCUAUUGCUAUUAGAUGAAAUAUAAUAAAAAUUGUCCUCCACCCAUAACACCUCUCACUCCCACCUACUGAACAUGUCUGGACCCUGCCCUCAUAUCACCUGCGUUUCCGUUAAACUAUCGGUUGCGGCCAUAUCUACCAGAAAGCACCGUUUCCCGUCCGAUCAACUGAGUUAAGCUGGUAAACUUAAGACAAAUAAAAUUUAUAGAGACUUGUUCAGUCUACUUCUCUCUAAACUAGGCCCCGGCUCCUGCCAGUAC
rnacentral:rRNA from 1 species